UGCAAACUGUUUACAAAGUGAAAACAAUCGAGGGCACCCGCGUACGUGCAAACUUUCCUGAUCAGUUGGCUGACGGUUGUUAAGAUGCUCUCGGUUACAAUACUUUCAUUAUUAGCUGAAUGAGUGUUUCUUCCCGUGUAUUCGGUCGUGUUCGUACACCACUCGGCGAGUCUGGUACAAUUACGAUGGUCUGGAGACUGUGCAACCUUUGAUUGACAUCGUAAAGCCUGAAAAGGGUGUGAUCUGAAAGUUUCCGAAGUCUCCAGCGGACAUCAAUGCAGACAAAGAAAUAGCGAGUGCACUUGCAUUAGAAUUGGCAUCAAAGCAUGCGUGGUGAUGAUUCCCCUAUUGGGUGUCAGGUGGUAUUCGGUCUCCUCUCGCCUGUACAUGAAACUUUCGUUUACGUCUUCACCAUACUCAACUCUGCUCAAGUCAGUAUUCGCUGGGUUUCCUAAUUUUCGCUCUACACUGCAUGCGAAACAUUCAGAUCAGAGAGCGAUUCAAAAGAAAGAUGAACAUCGUUUUUCCAUCUUCUUUAAAGAACAACUCCACAAGGAAGAGCCACAGGUCAAUCCAAAUGAGGUUGGGGAUGUAUGGGCAAUUGAAUUGCUGUCUUGUGCUGAGUUUGAAUCGAAAUCGCACCUAACUUAAAUAACUGGAUCCAGCCAACCGGAAAUGACAGUCAAUUACCUAGUACAAUCACUUAGUUAACAGCAAUAAGUCGGUUACGAUCGAUCUGACUUGCUCUCUGCAACUAAAAAGAGUUCUUUCUUUUCAUUAUUGUUUAAGCAUUCAACUAGCUGUAAUUGUUAUGUAUGCUCUUUACGAUAACAAGGUUGUUUUUGGGGCGAUCGUAUAUUUGUAGGCAAGAUUAAUCGAAAUAAACCAAUGUAUAAAUUUAAA